rnacentral:rRNA from 1 species
GCGAAAUACGGUAGACUCCCGCUUAAUUUAACAUUUUAUAUGCGGAAGAAGACGGAUAUAAGAACACCACAGCCGAGAAAGCGGCAGGAUAUAGUUUAUGGAGUUACUAGUGAAUUAU